AGAGUUUGAUCCUGGCUCAGGAUGAACGCUGGCGGCGUGCCUAACACAAUGCAAGUCGAGCGAUUACUUCGGUAAAGAGCGGCGACGGGUGAGUAACGCGUGGGUAACCUGCCUCAUACACAUGGAUAACAUACCGAAAGGUAUGCUAAUACAGGAUAAUAUAAGAGAUUCACAUGGAUUUCUUAUCAAAGCUCCGGCGGUAUGAGAUGGACCCGCGUCUGAUUAGCUAGUUGGUAAGGUAAUGGCUUACCAAGGCGACGAUCAGUAGCCGACCUGAGAGGGUGAUCGGCCACAUUGGAACUGAGACACGGUCCAAACUCCUACGGGAGGCAGCAGUGGGGAAUAUUGCACAAUGGGCGAAAGCCUGAUGCAAGCAACGCCGCGUGAGUGAUGAAGGCCUUCGGGUACGUAAAACUCUGUCCUCAAGGAAGAUAAUGACGGUACUUGAGGAGGAACGCCCGGCUAACUACGUGCCAGCAGCAGC
rnacentral:rRNA from 1 species